rnacentral:rRNA from 1 species
GACGAACGCUGGCGGCGUGCUUAACACAUGCAAGUCGAACGCUGAAGCUUGGUGCUUGCACUGGGUGGAUGAGUGGCGAACGGGUGAGUAAUACGUGGGUAAACUGCCCUUGACUCUGGGAUAAGCCUGGGAAACUGGGUCUAAUACUGGAUACGACAUGUCACCGCAUGGUGGUGUGUGGAAAGGGUUUUACUGGUUUUGGAUGGGCUCACGGCCUAUCAGCUUGUUGGUGGGGUAAUGGCUCACCAAGGCGACGACGGGUAGCCGGCCUGAGAGGGUGACCGGCCACACUGGGACUGAGACACGGCCCAGACUCCUACGGGAGGCAGCAGUGGGGAAUAUUGCACAAUGGGCGGAAGCCUGAUGCAGCGACGCCGCGUGAGGGAUGACGGCCUUCGGGUUGUAAACCUCUUUCAGCACGGAAGAAGCGAAAGUGACGGUACGUGCAGAAGAAGCGCCGGCUAACUACGUG